rnacentral:rRNA from 2 species
CACGGGGCACGCUAAUCCUGUGGGAAGCAGGGAGGUCCACCUCCCAAGGCUAAAUACUCUUGGCGACCGAUAGUGUACAAGUACCGUGAGGGAAAGGUGAAAAGAACCCCUGUUAGGGGAGUGAAAUAGAACCUGAAACCGUAUGCCUACAAGCAGUGGGAGCACUAUGCUGACUGAAAACCCCAACGAUGUUGGGAUUGUCGGAAGGUGUGACCGCGUGCCUUUUGGAGAAUGAGCCGGCGAGUUAAUCUCUGUGGCCAGGUUAAGGCAGUGACAGCCGGAGCCGUAGCGAAAGCGAGUCUGAACAGGGCGUGGCCCUUCGGGGCCGGAGUCGCAGGGAUUAGACCCGAAACCAGGUGAGCUACCCAUGGCCAGGGUGAAGCGAAGGUAACGCUUCGUGGAGGCCCGAACCUUUAGCAGUUGCAAAUGCUUGGGAUGAGCUGUGGGUAGAGGUGAUAUGCCAAACGAACCUGGAGAUAGCUUGUUCUCCCCGAAAUAGCUUUAGGGCUAGCCUCAAGCGUUUAGUGGCGGAGGUAGAGCACUGGAUUGGCUAGGGGGCUAAUCGCUUACCAAACCAAACCAAACUCCGAAUGCCGUCACUUCAGAGCUUGGGAGUCGGACUGCGGGAGAUGAGUUUCGUGGUCGAGAGGGAAACAGCCCAGACCGUCAGCUAAGGUCCUCAAGUCUAGGCUAAGUGGGAAAGGAUGUAGGAUUGCCUGGACAGCCAGGAGGUUGGCCUAGAAGCAGCCAUCCUUUAAAGAGUGCGUAACAGCUCACUGGUCAAGCGAUCCUGCGCCGAAAAUGUAACGGGGCUCAAGCCUAGCACCGAAGCUACGGGUCCUUCGACAUCUUGUCGAAGGGCGGUAGGGGAGCGUUCUGCAGGGCGUAGAAGCCAGACCGUGAGGACUGGUGGAGCAUGCAGAAGUGAGAAUGCCGGCAUGAGUAGCGCAAAACACGUGAGAACCGUGUUCGCCGUAAGUCUAAGGUUUCCUAGGGCAAUGUCAAUCAGCCCAGGGUUAGUCGGGCCUAAGCCGAGGCCGAAAGGCGUAGGCGAUGGACAACGGGUUAAUAUUCCCGUACCACGUCGGGUCGUUCACCUUCGGGUGUGAAGCGAUGGGGGGACGCAGAAGGGUAGGCCAGCCUGUUAUUGGAUUCAGGUGCCAAGCCUGUAGGGAGAUGAAGGCAGUAGGCAAAUCCGCUGCCGGAUCCUGAGAGGUGAUAGGCGGUGCCCAUAGGGCCGCAAGUGGCUGAGCCCAUGCUGCCGAGAAAAGCCCCUAGCGAGACCCACGUGCCCGUACCGCAAACCGACACUGGUAGACGGGUAGAGUAUACCAAGGCGAUCGGGAGAACCCUCGUUAAGGAACUAGGCAAAAUAACCCCGUAACUUCGGGAGAAGGGGUGCCCCGGUAGGGUGAGGUGCUAAACGCAACCGAGCCCGAAGGGGUCGCAGUGAAAUGGCCCUGCCGACUGGUUACCAAAACCACAGGUCUCUGCUAAAGCGUAAGCUGAUGUAUAGGGGCUGACGCCUGCCCAGUGCCGGAAGGUUAAGGGGAAGGGUCAUGCUGGCUUCGGCCAGCGGCAGCUCUGAACCGAAGCCCCGGUGAACGGCGGCCGUAACUAUAACGGUCCUAAGGUAGCGAAAUUCCUUGUCGGGUAAGUUCCGACCCGCACGAAUGGCGUAACGACUGGGGCACUGUCUCAACGAGGGACCCGGCGAAAUUGAAAUAGGUGUGAAGAUGCGCGUUACCCGCAGCAGGACAAAA